AAAAACCCCAUUUUGCCCCUGCCUUCCCUUCAACAAACGUUCCUUUCCCGCGCCCCCUCCACUGACUGCUUUCGCCUUUUGCGCCCGCUAGAAACUCCACCUGCAGUCCUCACUAUCGCCCUUAUUGCCUCCCCGCAGACGCCCUCACCACCGACCUCUCCCUGCCGGCCCCUUUGUUGCUCAACCAGAAGCGCCACGUUGUCGAGUUGCCUGACUUCUAAAUGGCCGCAAUUCCUUUCAACUGUUCAUGCCUUUUCGCCAAACCCCCUCCUCGCAUCUUCCCUUCUGUUUCCGAAUCAUCCCUUUAAUAUGGACCUGCAGACAUGGAACAUCCUCUUUCCCUUUCCUCUCCUUCCAGCCGGUGAUGCGCUCUGCAUCUCUAAGGUGCUCGUUCAAAUGCCUUGUACAAACGGCUAUUAUGUUCGACUUUGCUUACUAAAGCAAAAUCAAUGCAUGCCCGAGAAAUCGCUGAUUCGCUGGACCAAAGGGAGGAUUUACAAUUGAUUUCACAUUUACCGAUGCGAGUGUGAUCUAAUACGUGGUAAUUUUCCAUUUAAAAAAAAAAAAUCUUUAUCCCGGCCACUCCAGUCUCUGCCUACUGCCAUCGCCACCCUAUUCUUGAUGCCCCUGCUGGCGACUCCAGCCCCGCUCAAUCUGCUAGGACUAUAGUGCCGCGGCUGAGUCCCUUCAACAGAUACCAGCCUCUGCCUUCUGUACUGGCACACUCCUUUCCAAUCCCUCUCCCGUUUUCACCAAUUCCCUAUCUUGUCUUGUCCAAUGCGUUAGGAGAUACCUGGGUGCCAAGGUUGUUGAGGGGCUGACCUUCUUGUCUCAAUCAACCCGAGCCCAAAAGAGAGUUAUCCAAUAUAAUACGAGAAUGAUCAAUUAUCUUCUCAGCGAAUCAAAGUUGUCCUUCCACCAAGAUGUGAUCGAGAUAGCAAAGGGGAGGGUUCGCCAAUAGAUGGGACAUGAAGUACGACUAAAAAUAUAUGGACUGCGUGAAGAAAUUUUGGCCCAGCAAGAUAGGAUACUGAGCAGCAAUGAAAUUGAGGGUCACCAACUGCCCGAUUCUUCCCGGGAAGAAUUUGAUGUAUUGGUUCAAUGUCAACAGAGUUAAGUGUAUAGUGAAUCGCUUACUGUCCAUACAGAGGAAACAAGCAUCGGAGAUUGAGGACAAAAAAUCCAUUUGGAACUGUUCCCUCUCUAAUUAUAGAGCCAGGGAAAUACAUGCGCCAGGUUGUAUGGGUCGUUCCUGCUUCUCUCCCCACGGGAGUCUUGGACCCAUUUAGUUAAACGUUAAUGUAAGUUAUUUUUUGAGAGAAAUCUUGAUGGUCACUUGUCCGCAUUAUUGACUGGUGCAUUUGUACUUUUCAUCUUCUUUACCAUCCUCAUUUGCAGACGUGCUGCAACAUAUUAAGCUUGCUCCCUGUUCGUUACUAGAGAGGGAUCUAUAAUGAGAUUUUGCCCGUAAAGCAUGGAAGUGCAGUUCGUCCAUUUUGUAGGGCCAUUUUCAUUCGACUUAAUAAUGAAAUCAUAGUUGUAUUACUUUCAGUAGUCCACUAUAUGCAAACUCAACUAUUCUUGAUGUAUGAUCUCUCAUGAAUGUCUAUGGGGAAGAAAAGAAAUAUUGAAGGGAACGAAAGGUCAUGUCUGCAAGAUAGCUUAGGAUCAAUUCUAGACAUUAGUUAGUCCAGUUUCCAUUUUGCUCAUUCCUCAGAAUGUAGUUUUCACAUUAUAUUAUAUACUAUAUAUGCUUGUGUCAGCAUUUUUUUCAUUGUUUGAUGAAACAAAAUUUGUUAAGCGGGUUACCUUCUAAUAACCUCUUCUGUCGAUUCUUUGCCCAGUAGACUUCAUUUAGACUGAAAAUCAUUAUACGUAUUUUUUUCUUGGGUAAAGAUAGAUAGAUGGCCAUUAGCUUUAGGCAAUUCUAAGAGAGGCAGUUCUUAAUAAAAUUUUUAUUCUUAUUCUUUCUUUCUAUCCUGCUGACGUUUCUGUCAGAUCAACUGCUUUACUCAAUAUGACAUCUUCCAAUCUUUUCGGAUAGAGUUGAAGUGGCCUUGGGCGGAUCACAUUAGGUCAUGCAGCUUUAUUCAUUCAAAAAUAUAUUAUAUCAAUGUGGUGCUUUGGUGCUAAUUCCAAAUCACCUGCUUGAUUUCCAGAAUGGAAGGCGGCCAUUAGUAUAGCUACUGCAACCGACUUGUUCACAUUAACUCAGUUCUGAUGACCUCACUUUUCUUAAUUCAAUUCUUGCUUCUCUAAGUUCCAAGGUAAAAAUCAAGCCCUAACUUUAUGUCUAAAUUAUCUCUACUCAACUCUAAAACCAAACACACUAUUAAAAUCAGAUCUACAAGCAUUCUCAAUCGCUUCUACUUUCUUUGCAUCAGAAUUAUUUUGAAGCUUAUUAUGCUUAAACAAAAGCAGCGCAUGUCACUGAAACUGGUAAGGCCAGAAGUAAUAAUGUUGGUAAAAUGAUUGAGGAAGAAGAUGGUGGGGUUAAAGAUCACAACGAGGUUUCUCACGUAGUAGAGGUUGGAAAAAUUAAGAAGUUUUAAGAAUUCUUGAUUGGUGGUAGCACUGCAUCUGUAUGCAGUUAAAAUUUUCUUUUCAAUCCAACAGCUUCAAAAGCAUACUUUUAGAGAAGUUCCUUGUGUGGACAAUGAACGGACAUAGACAAGUCAAUGAGUGGUAAUAUCUUUACAGAGCCUCAUCAAUGUUUGUAUUUAGGAUGCGUAAGAGCUCCUCAUGUCGACAUCCGGGCGAGGUAGGGAUGUUAAUCCAUUUUUUAAUGAAUAUCCAAUCGCUGAAUUACUGUAUCAACUAUUAGAUUCUAAUAAUAUAUUUAUUACCUAUUUAAGAACUUAACUCAUUGCAUAGCUGCGGGCUGUUUUGUUUCUUAAACACAUGCAGGUUGCUCCGGUGAGGCAGGUGGCAUUCUCCUCCCAGUCUUAGGUGAUGAGUUGAGUACUGUGUAUGAAGCUUUAGCGGCCUUAGCAACUAAUCUCAAGUCCAAAGAUGUAGAAGGGGAGCACGUCCUUGGAAAGUCCCAACUCCGGUCCAACAACUAGAAAGCACAUCCUAGACUGCCCAGCUUUUGACAGCACUUUGUGGGAUAAAACUCUGGAAGGGCAUUGCAAUACUUGAGUUAAAGGUCGCAAGUGACUGCCUAGGUUUAGUUUCUGUCUUCUAGGAAGUCGAAAUAGAUCAAUCAUUGAAUGAAGGAAACAUGGUAUCUGUUGAAACAGUUUUGGAGGAACACAUUUUCGAAAGAAUUCCCUGAUGGAAUUUUGUAUACACUUGGUAGACAAUUGGACCAUCAGCUUUUUUAUAUAUUUUAAAACCAAACUGUUUUAUAUCA